rfam:Culex pipiens quinquefasciatus supercont3.598 genomic scaffold, whole genome shotgun sequence.
GGAACCGUGGUGUAGGGGGAAGCGUGGUUGCCUCUCACCCAAUCAGCUUGGGUUCGAUCCCAGACGGUCCCA